GUAAGUUUUUUGUUACUCGGCAAAAGUCACAAAUAUUCGAAAUACGCAACCAAACAAAACGCUAUUGCCGCCUUACGUACCCGCAUAACGCACCAACCGCCACUUUGAAAGUGAAUCAAAAUAAUCCACCCCUGCUGAAAACGAAAAAGCCUAUUCGCGAAGCGCCGCGGCAACUUGACAGAUGAGUCAGUUCACACGCACACCAUAAGCAAACACGACAUUGGAGUAAAAGAAACGGUACUUUUCAUCCGGCACGUCUUCGCGAGUGGUAGCCCCAUCGCCAUCAUCGGGCGGCUACAAAUUGGACGGGAAAAUUCCAUCUACACGGGCGAGGGACCACAUGGUGGCCAAUUGAUUGUUCUCCAGUGGCCGCGUUUCUGUGCCCACGAUCCAACGUUCCUUCGUCGUUGGCCAGCAAUUGAACGUGAGGUGAAGACACCGGAGCUCCCACCGAGGAAAAAAGAAGGAACCGACUCUCAAUAUUCCGGGCUCGUCAGGAGCGCCAAAAUCUGACGAAAAAACAGGACAAGCGGGAAGAAUCAGACCACGUGAAAGUGGAGAAGGACAACGAUCGUCGGAAGGAGAUCGGCCAGUAUCCAGAUUUUCAAAUAACACCCCAGCAUUGGGGUGUUUUUGCCGAGCCAGUCCACGGUCAGGUUGCACGAUUUAAUCAUUCCUACCGGACGGGUAGAGGGCCGUCGGAUUAUUUCGUCUAGGCUGUCAGAUUAUUCCCACCGGACGGGUAGACGGCAAGUACCGGAACAAAGAGCAGGUGGUCGGAAGGGACCAGAAACAGCCCAGCCGGGUGAGAGCAGCCUCUUCGACGACGGGGGAGAUCCAGUGACUCGGAGGGACCCCAUCCAGUAGUUGGUCGCACUGGACGGCCAGAGGGGUCUCCAGCAGAGCACUCUCGAAGCAGGCGGGAGGAGGCAGUGGAAUGCGGCAGCAAAGCAGUUGUGGCGGGGAGAACUCCGCCGAGAGGAUAGAUCAGGGGGACGCCCCGAAGACCGUGAGUAAGACAGUAUGUGCUUUGUGAGAUAGGAAGAUAGAGAAAGAAGAAGGCAGAGAGUGAGGAGAAGAGGGAUGAAUAGGAGGUAGGAAG